rnacentral:lncRNA from 1 species
UGGCCUCGGGCAUUGAAUGUUACAUGAAGCAAUAUGGUGUCUCUGAGGAACAAGUGUACAGUGAGUUCCACAAGCAAGUUGAGAAUGCAUGGCUGGGUAUUAACCAGGAAUGCCUCAAACCUACUGCCGUUCCAAUGCCUCUCCUCACUCGUGUUGUCAAUCUUUCACGAGUCAUGGAUGUCAUUUACAAGGAGGGAGACGGGUACACACAUGUUGGGAAAGUGAUGAAGGAUAAUAUUGGAUCUGUGCUCAUUGACCCCAUAGUAUGACCAAAUGGAGUUAUUUAUAAUAAAUCAUUAUAAUAAGGUGUGUUAGAGAAAUCCGUAGAAUAAAAGAACUUUCUGAAGAAUGGUUUGUUACUGCAACUCUACCAGGAUUAUUACAAAUGGUCUCUUAAAUACAGUUUUAGUGGUCAAGAUCUAGUACUGAGUUUUUUCUUGUUCUGUUUUCAACAACUUAAUAACAAUCUGUAACAGCAAGCUAGUACUGAGAUCCUCAACUCUGAGUUUGUGUCUUAAGGCUGGAAAAUUGGAAGUAGAGAUGGCCUUUAUGAGAACAUCAGCUAUUUGAUCUUGAGAUUGCACAUGAUGAACUUCUAGCUCCUUUUGCAUCACUUUCUCUCUAGCAAAGUAGAGAUCCAAUUCAAUAUGCUUUAUUCUGGCAUGUAGUACUCGAGUGUAAGCUAACAUGAUAGUACUCAGGUUAUCAUUAGGAACCUGUAAUUCAAACAACAAUGAUUGUAACCAAGAUAAUUUUGUUGUUAAGUUGGCCAAACUGCUACACCCAUCUUGGCUUUGGACAAAAGAUCUGCUAUAUACUUAGUUUGGGAAAGAUGCAAACCUUCUGAAGUUUGCUUGACUUGUAUUCCCAAAACAUAAUCAACUAAGCCAAGAUCUUUUAGAGUAAAAUGAUCAUGGAGCUUAUCAUUCAACUUUUGUACUUUUAUGUCAUUGCUUCCUGUUACAGACUAAGAUAAAAGUGGAAUGUUGUGGAGUGAUGCUUACAAAGAGAGACUGAUCUGACUUUGCUGACUUGAAUCCAAGCAUGUGUAGAGCUUUAUACAAUUUUUCAAAUCAAGCUCUUGGAGCUUGUUUAAGACCAUAAAGGGAUUUGUACAAACAGCAAACCAUUAUGAGUUGAUAGGGAUCUUGAGAACCAUAUGGCUACAGCAUAUAUACUUCUUCUUGCAAAUCUCCAUUGAAAAAUGGUUCAACCACCCAAUUUCUUGCUACGGCAAUUAAUAGAAUUACUCUGAUAGUAGUUGGUUUCACCAUAGGACUAAACAUUUCAUUAAAGUCAAAGCUUGCAACUUGAUAAAAGCCAAUUUUCGUUUUGUAGAGCUUCAUCAACAAAUUCAAGUUGUACAGCAGAAUAUAGACUUUAGGCUUGUAAAUGACAACCUUGGAUCUUGUAAUCAUGUCGUGUGAAUUGGUGAUAUGCAACCUGUCCUUGUUAGGUAAGACCGAAUCAAACAAGUCAGUAGCAUCAACACAAAUGGCUGAAUUAGGAACAUCAGUACGUAUAGUAGAGUCUGGAGAUUCAACUAAAUUUGGUUGAAAACUAGAAGAUGAAGAAGUAGAGUUGGAUGGUUUUAUGGAAGAAGAUGUAAAAAUUAGAAGUUGGGCUACUGUGCAAUGUUGAGUGAAAGUAGAGGCAGCACAGGGUUCUAUUAUAAAACAACAUUUUCUCGACUUUCAUAUUAAUUUCUUUUCAGAAAUCAUAAACUCUUUGAACAAAAUUAAACAAUGAUAUAUAGAAACUCUAAUGAAACCUAAAAAAUAGCUUUUGACUUCUCCAAAAUUAAUUCAAAUAGGACCUACAAGUAUAUUUAAUAAUAACUUUUGGAAAGUUUAAAGUUGUAACUUAUUAUUUGAAUAUUUUCCUUUAAAAAAAAAGGGAAAAAACAAAAAAGAAAAACAAAGAAGAGGUUGUUUUUGAAGAAGUUUAAAAAUCAGAGACUUACUUGGAGUGACUUUUUAAAAUGCCACCAAAAUAUUAUUUUGAUUUAUAUCUAAAUACUAACUCACAAUCCACAAAAAGCAUCCCUAAUAGAAGAUAUUAUCAAUAAAAGGGUUGAUGAUAAACACUCAUAUUUAUCAUUUGGAUUUGCAUAUCUAUAGGAUAAACACUCAUAUUUUUCUUCUCUAUUUUAUUUUUAUAAUUAUUUAUUUUCUUUCUUUCCUUUCUCUUUAUCUUCUUAUAGUUUUUAUUUAUUUUAAAAAGCUAUUAUUUUUGUAAAUUUAUAAAAAUUUUAAAAUAAUAUUAUUGUAAUAAUUACCUUUAAAAAAAUAUUAAUUAUUAUAUUUCUUAAUUAACUUCUUUAAAAAAAAUAACAAAUAAGAAUGAAAGAUACGUGAUUGUUAAAAAUAUUUUUCGAGGAUUAUAUUUGAUCCCAAGUUUUUAUUAAAUAAAUAAAUAAAAUAUGAAAACAUAUCAUAAUUAUUUUUAAAAAAUCUCUAAAAGAUUAUUUUAAGAAAAAUUUUAUGAAACUUUAUAUUUUCAAGAAAAAUAAUUUAUUUUUAAGAAUAACUUAAAGAUUGUUGUAAAAUAAGGACAAAUAUAAUGCAAAUCAAAGUAGUAGAGAUAAAAUAUAUCUUAUUUUGAUAUAUAAUAUGGAAGAAGGAAUCAAAUAAGAGAAUUGAGAAAGUGAAAGAAAGAGAGAGAGAGAGAGAAUGAGAGGAAGAGCUUUCUUUCUUUUCUCGGGAUGCUUUUACAGAGGGGGUAAGAAGCGCUUCAUAAUAUGAACUCCCAUUACUCAUCUUAAAGAUGAGUAAAUGGAGUUCAUAAUGGCCAUCAAUGUGGUCAUUCAUUACUUUUCAUUUACAACAAAUAUAUUAUUAUUAUUAUAAUAUUAAAAAAAAGUAUUGCAGGUAUCGGGGAAAGUUCUUACUUCUUAGAUGCCUAUAAAUAUUCUUAAUUUUAAAAAUUAUAUUUUUAGGGCAGGGGGGAAAAUUACGUGUCUGAAUGAAUUUCUGUGAUUUUCGUUUUACCCAAACAGGUUAGUGUUACCAUUUACCAUUUAGGGAUUUUCUUUCUUAUCAAACAGGACAGGGAAAAGGACUGUUAAUUUCCGAAGCCGUGGUUUGUGGCUUAGAAAAGCACUGUAGGGAUUCGGCAACCACAUCACCGCCAAUCAUCGCCGCCGCUCACCGCCGCCAGAGUCAUUCACCAAGGCAACGCACCAUGUCGAGGUAAUUUGUGUGUCUUCUCCUUUCUUCUUCUUCUUUCUAUAAAUGGAUUGAGUGGGGAUGUCUGGGAGAGCCAGAGAAAAGGGAUUUGGAUCUGGACCCAUGGCCAUUUUGGAGGUCCAAGGGCCAAACCGACUUUCCCACCAUGUUUGGUUUGAUCGCAGUUUUACCGUUUGAUUUAAUAACGGCGGCCUUCUGAUCUGAUGAAUUUGAAGCUCAGUAAAGUUAUGCGUGAUUUUUCAGAAAUUUAGUGGUUUAGCAAUGAAAUAAUUACACCCCUUUUCGUUAUAGUGAAAAUCAUUUGGUUGAUAUGUGAUUUCUUUACUCUGAAAACAGUGGUUUAUGUGAUUGGGUUUUUAAAGAUUUAAUGAAAAAUCGAAACUCCAAUAAAUGGUGAGUGAUUUUGAAGAAAUGUGGUCGUUUAACAUGUGAUUUGAUGAUAACCCUUUUGAUUAUAUUAUAAACCAUGGAUGGGUUUUGUUGAUAAAGGAUAUGAUUGCAAUGAAAACAGGGAUUUAAUGUGAGUUGAGUGUGAGCUUUGAUUUAAUGGUAAUCCUCUUGAUUAUAGUGAGAACCAUGGAUGGUUUCGGAUGACUUAGGAUGUGAUCACAAUGAAAACAGUGACCUUUUGUGAUGAGCUGCAGCCCUUUACUUUGAUAAAUGUAGUAGUUAAUAAGUAUGUUUAAUUUGCAGUCCGAUCAAUACACUUGUGCUUGAGAUAAUGUUUGGUGAAUUACAUGAUUAGGAUCAUCGAAAUGUGUUCCAAGCAUGGCUUUUGGGGUUAAUGGUACAUUGUAAAUGGCCUGUUUUCUUUCAUCUCUUCUCUUUUUGCUUCCUUUCUUUCUUAUGCUACUUGGAAAUUGUUAUGCUUUCAUGUUUUGUACUUAAAUAAAUUUUGAUUUAGGCGACCUAGAUUCUUGAAGGUCCUAGCUGGAGCCCAUGUAGCAAUGGUCUAUUGAUGAAUGAAAUCUAUCUUUUUUUUCAGUUAGGAAAUAAAGAGGGAAAGAGAAAAUAUGUUGAAAAGGAAAAAUGAAAGCCAGGGAAAUUUGUUGCUUGUUUGAUUAUUAUUUUUUUUCUUUUUCUUUUUAUUUUUUAAGCUUCUCUCUCAUUUUCUUAAUUUAUUAAAUGUCUUUUUCUAAAAAUUAACUUUUUUAUUUUUUAUGUUAUUCUUAAGCAGAAGGUAAAAUUGUCUGGGGUUUCUUGCUUGCAUUUAAAAACUCUUUUUCGAGAGCAUAUUGGUGCAAAACUUGACGGGAAUCAGAUGCAAUGGGAGCAUCCAGUGGGCCAAGGUUUUCUGGAAUGCAGAAGCAAGUUCUGGGGCUAUACAGAGGAUUCUUACGGGCAGCACGUUCUAAAUCUCCUGAAGAUCGGCGACGAAUUGAAUCAUUUGUUUCAGCUGAAUUCCGCCGCAAUUCUAAGCUUGUUGAUCGGAAGAAUUUUCUUUACAUUGAAUAUUUGCUUCGCCGAGGUAAAAAACAGCUUGAACAACUUAACAGCCCAGCCACUCUUGGAUUGUCAUCCUUGAAUUUGAGUUUCUCUGAGAACCAAAAACCUUAAGCCCUGUCUAAAAUUCAUAUUUUUAAUUUUUAAUCCAUCCAUGGAUUUAUGAGUGUUACAAUACAUGAAUAAUAGGUAUGUUGGUCGUUUUCAAGAAUAUAAGAUUUUGUGAUUCAUUACUUUUUCAUGCCCUUUUGCUUUGUUGUAUUCUUAAAAUUAAUUAGCCUUCUUCCUCUCACCCAAAAAAUAAUAAGCAGAAAAAAAAAAAAAAUGAAAGAAAGAAGGAAAAAGAGAUAAAAAGAUUGAGAAGCCUUGAAUUUUGUGAUUUUGGAGUUCUGCUCAUGGUUUAUUUUUUAGAAACUAUAGAUGGCUUAUUUCCUUUAAGCUACAUGCGGAUGUCCUGAAUGGCAUUUGUUUCUGAUUAGCAAAAGAAAAUGGGGUAGUUCACAAUACAGAGCGCUUGAUUUCAAGAGGGAACAACAGUAGAAGUUGAUCCUGACACUUAUUAGAACUCUGUUUGGUUUGUGUGAUCUAAUCUAUAAGCAUUGAAAAGUGACUGAGAGUGAUAUUAAAGACUAAAAUAUUGAUUUGUUAUUGAGACACCAGAAAUGAAAUAUUAAUGUAAAAAGUAAAAUUUGACUCUGAAAGAUAGUUUGACAUGUUUAACAGGUACAGAUGUAGAUAUUAUGUUUGAUAAUUUAUAGAUAAACCUAGAUAUUGAAAGUGUUGACAUAUGAACAAAUAUUAAGUGGCAUGCUUUGUAGCUUCUCAAUGACCUGCUCUGUGGUGUUGUGAUCUGGGUAAUUCUUUAGGAACAUAUUUGAAUUGCACAGCUAAUUUAUAAAUUGUUCUGGUAUCCCCUGUUUAUGAGUAUUGCAUUGUUGGAAAGCUUCAAUUACUUUGAUAGUCGUUAAACCAUUAACCUCUUCCCAUGUCAUAAUACUCCUGUUUUUUAGUAAUAGCUACGUUUUUCGAUAUUCCAUAAAUACACUGAUUCAAUCAGAGUCAGGGUGCACUCGAUUCCACACUGAAUGCCACUUUAAUUUGCUCAAAAAACUAAAAAUACCCUCAUCUAGGAAUUUUAAAAGUAUGAUGCUUGUCUCCCUGUGGAACAAAUAUCAUGCCUGUUUUAAACUUUCAAGUAACUUUAGGUGACAACUUGGGUAACUCAUGGAGAGUCACCUGAAGAACACCAUUAUUGCAGUGGAAAGAAGGAGAUUGAAGUAAGGAUCUAGCAUUCCUUUGGAAUCAAUGGGUGCUUCAAGCAUCUAUGAAAGAGGGUGUAGUUCAUUGUUGAAUUGAUUCAAAAAGUACCUCUGAAACUUUAGGAAAGGCAGGGGAGGAGAAUAACAGAAAGUUGAGAAAAAUCUAAUGGAACCAGCAAUGGCAGCCUAACUUACCUCACAUGUUAGUUUGUUGUGGACAGAAAAUACCAUGAAAAAGCUAUAUAUAUCUAGGUACGUAUGCUUCUAUAUUCUUUUUUUUAAUCCACUAGGUUUAUUCUCUAGAGGUGAUCUGAUGAUCAUUAUCCUGGACUUGCCGACAGACAUACUGGUUCAAUGGGCUGGACAGGUUUAGCAAAGUCCUCUAUUAUAAAAUGUAUUUUCCAUUGAAUUGAUAUAGAAUUGAUGUAAGAAGUCUCCCAUGGGACUCACCCAAAUGGGAUAAGUCCUUGAGAGAAUGUUGUUGCAUGAAUUAUAGGCAUGUCUUGUGGCCUAUAUGUGGUCUGGCAUUCCUUCUUGAGUGAGAAUCUCAUCUACGUGGCCCAGUAAAGAAGUGUUAUGCCUCCACAAAAAAAGUUAAGGUUGAUCAUAUAAGAAACCCAGUACAGAGAGGGCAAAGAAUUGAGAUGAAGAACUAGAACACAAACAUGGACAUUGUUCCAGUGGAGAGCUUGAGUAGCAAGAUAAUUUCCCUCCUUGAGAAAGAAGCCUCCCUGUUAGUGGGAGUUUGGAAUGAGCUUGCUGAAAUCCAGCAAGAGUUGGUGAGCAUGAAAGCCUUUCUAGUGGACAUUGACAGAAAAGGUGUCAGAUCAGAAGGUGAGAAAGCUUGGGUGGCAAUUGUGAGGGACAUAGUCUAUGAUGUAGAAGGCAUCAUUGAUGAGUACAUCUAUUCCAUGAACAGACCAAAAAGAGAUGGAAACUUUGCAAGGUGUCUUGAUCAAAGUUUAUCUUCCAAUGAACCUGUGGACAAGGCAUCUAUGGAAGUAAGCAUGGAUAUGCAUCUUUGGAAUAAAAUAAAAGUAUCACUUCCUGAUGGUAGGCAUGGAAGCAGAGUCUAGCUUACAACUGAAAAGAAGACAUUGCAGCUUCUUUUGGAGAUGGAUGCCAUGUUCACCAUGUUAAUCCACUGGGAAAGAAUGAGUCAUGGACCUCUUCUGUAUGAAUGCUUUUUUUGCAUUCCCAAUAGUUGCCCCCCCCAAGCUCAAAACCGUAGCUAAAGACAUUGUGACAAGUGUGAAGGCCCAUCUCUUGCUAUUGUAACCUUGAGUGGUCUUCUGGCUUCCAAGAAAUGGGAAUGUGAGUGGUGGAAAGUUCAUGAUAGCUUGAAGUGGGAGCCAAGCAACAACCCAGCUCUUGAACCAGUUUGGUUGAUCAAAAGCUUUCAAGAUGCAUGAUCUUUUGCAGGAACAUGUUCUUCUAUCUCAGAAAGAGAGAAUUUUUGCACUGCCUAUGACGAGCUACAAGCAAUAGUAGACAGUAGAGCAUGGUGUUUGUCAAUUCAAAAAAGUGAUAGAGAAGUAAAAUUAUUGAUAGUUGCUCUUUAUUUUUGUUUGUCAUUUACUUGAAGACUCCAUCUUCCCUGAACACAUUCCUAUCUGAAUUCAACUUCAGAAUACUGAGAGUCUUAGAUCUGGAAGGUAUCCCAGUUGAUAUACAUAUAUUUUUUUUUGAUGGGUGUAUCCCAGUUCAUAUAUUACCCUAUAAAAUACUCCAUCUGUUCAAUCUAAGGUAUUUGAACUUGAAAAAGACAAAGGUGAAGGAGCUCCCAGAAUCAAUAGGGAAACUCUGCAAUCUUCAGCCCUAGAACAUUUGGGAGACAAGGCUAGGGCGUCUAGAGACACUUCCAAGUGGGAUAGCAAAGUUGCAGAACUCACAGCAGUAUCUGGCAAUGUCCCACAUGUGUGGUGGGAUUCAUGAUUUGAACUUAUAUGUGGGAUACUGGCACCCUUAGACAAUUGCAAUUUAAAGAACUUGCAUGUUCUGGAUCGUGUUGAAGAAGUGGGCAAUAUACUGAAACAAGUAAAAAGCAUGACACAGCUCACUAGAUUUGGCAUUUCAAAGGUGAGGAGAAGGGGAUGGGAUGGACUCAUGCGGCUCAAUUCAAGAUGGUGAAAGAUCAGGAGGAAGUCCCCCAAAUAGACGCAGUAUCAACACCUCCUCCGCCUCUUCAGAAACUUGUUCUGGUUGGAUAGAUGCAGAGAGUUCCAGAUUGGUUUCACUCACUUGAGAGCCUUACAUCUUUGAAUCCAAACUGGCCGAGAUUGAGAGAAGACCCGUUUCCUUACUCCCAAGCUUUACCAAAUCUGGGAUGGCUUAUGCUUGUCAAGGCAUAUGCUGGGAGGCAGUUGUGCACAGUUCCAAGUUGCAUAAGCUUACAGCUUUAUAUUUACAUGAUUAUCCUGGUUUGGAUGAGAUAAUUAUAGAGAAGGGGGCCCUUGUCAAAAACUCCAGAAACUAUUCGUUGGCAGGUGUGCUGAUCUGAAGAAGCUGCCUCAAGGUAAUGAAUACCUUGCCAUCCUCUAAGAAAUGCAUUUGGAUGUUGUUGUUGCAGAGGAACUUGCAGAGAGCAUACAAGGUGAAGGAAGUGUUCGAUCACCCAAAGGUAUGGCACAUUCCCAUCAUAAACCAUUACUAAAAGCUUGUCUCAGCAAGGUGACUGUAUCAGGUUCAUUUGUUUUUGCCUUUCCAUCUCUUAACUGGACCAGCACUGGUGGAACCUUCAAUAGGUUCUUUUCUUUGUGUCAGUCACUUCUGACUCUGAGAAUAGUCUUUGUCACUAUUGCAAUAUUCCUUUGCUUUCUUUCUAUCGUAUGCAUGUAAACACAUUUGGCACGUAAACACCCUUUGUUAAUUUUUGAUUGAAAACAGUUUUUUGAAAAUUUGUUUUCAAAACAGGCUGAUUUUUGGAAAAGUUUGAGGUGUUCUUUUUGAAGUGCUUUGAGAAACAAUUGGAAUUUGAAAACAAGUUAAGAACUUUUACAUUACAAGGAAGUGUGCAGUGCCUUCACGAAUAUAUGAGUUUUUGAACACUUUAUUCUUAAAAAUGAACUAAUACUUGUUUUUAGGAAUUGUUUUUAAAUUUUGAUUUUUGAGAAUUGUUUUUAAAAUCAUCAGAUAACCAGAAAUGCCUUGAGUGCAGUUUUCUUUGGGCUGCAGGUGUCAUUCCUAUCUCUACAAAUGGAUUGGGGAAUAUUUUGAAAAUGUAAGAAGAUUAGUACAACUUUGAAAUGCCAUGGAGCAUACUAAAUGUGAGGGGGUGUGAAGUUUGAGGAAAGUGCAAGGGAAAGGAAUCAAGAGUGAUAAGAGGAAGAAAAGAAAGUGGGAAGGAAAGUGAAAUUAAACUAAGGGAAUAUGGAACGGGGAUUGGAAAAAUUUCCAUUUCUUAUAUUUUAAUUCAUUUAUGCAACCAUUAGAAAGGUGAAUCAAUAAAAUCUAAAUCCAUUCCUUGAGGAUUUGUUUCUUUUUUUUCAUGUUCUAAUUUAUCUCUUCCUAUUAUUUAAUAUUAUUAUACUAAUAUUUAAUUUAUUUAUAUUAAACUAAAUUUAUUAUUUUAAAUGUUUGAGGAAAAGAUUUUAGUCAUAUUUGUAUCAUAAAAAAUCAAUUUAUCUUUCUUUGUUUUACCAUAUACUUUUGCUAUUAUGUAUGUUAAAGAUGACGGAUUGUGAAUUUUUAAGUUACUUCAACGAUUUAACAUCCAUGCACACAAUAACAUGAUUUAAUAAACUUAUAAACCCAAUCAAAGGCCUCUUUUAUUAUCAUUUCUCCUCUUCCAAAUGAAAGAGAGGGUUGUGGCUAAGCUUACUCGUACAACUUGCAUAUAUUCCUCUAUGGUACAUGUCCUUCAUGGAACCAUUAUGCUUCGUCAAAGUAAGAGUCAACCUGAAUUUUCAUCUCACAAACAAAUACUUAAUUUUUUGCUUGAUUCACCUACAUAACUCAAACUUAACACAUUUUUUCACGAGAUCAGAUUGAAUAUAAGUGUAUUUAAGUUAAAUUUAUAUUAACCUACGUAAUCUAUUGACUAAAUAAGUUGUUUUAUACUAACCUGUAUAACACAAAUUUAAUCCGAAUUGACAUUUUAAUAAUUAUGUUGAUUAAUCUAAUUAUAAGUUCAAUCUAUUUAAUCUGAUUAUUUAAAAUUUGAUUUUGAUAAAUAAAUCAAAUGAGUUAAACAUGUCGAAUAAUUAGGUUAUGCUUGGGUUUAUGUUUUGAACCCAAUUAUUAUCUGUAUUACAUUUAAGUUGAUCUGUUUAGUCGAAUGUCUGGCCACUACGGAACACCAUCAAGUAAAAAUGGCACUUACCGCUUCUUUUGCAUAGUGGAAGCAAUUUGCUUUUCCUUCUUUGUCCAUCUCUUCCUCAAUUUCUUUGUAGACAUCUAAGAGUACCUGAUAGAUCACUUCCAUGUAUUCUGGCGGUUGACUGUUGCUUUCAUCCCACCUGAGGAUAAAUGAACAUCCAGGUCUUGAUUAGGUUUAAAUCAACGCAAGUACAUAUUUCAAAAUUGUGGACAAAAUCAAGGUGGAUUAUUUGCAGAGAAGAAACCUCUCAAUCACUUCUGCAAAAAGCUUAUGUUUUUCGAGUGUACCAUAUGCAUCAUACAUGUCAUCUAUAGUGGAUAUUAUGGAAAGUACUUCGGUCUUGAAUGUUGGGGCUCAGAAAACAUAGCAAGUACAAAGAAGUAGCUUUCCACCAGUCUAUCUCGAGCAAAUGGUAUCUUCAUGCCAAGGUCUAGUUCUUUAUGCCACCUAAAAUAAAUUAACAUGGUUAGCAAUAAGAGAAAGAUUGCUCAGCUCUUCCUAGUGCAGUGACUGCACCAGGUUGAAGUCUAACUUCGCCAGCUUCAGCAAAGCUUUAUCAUGCGGAGCUUCAUGUUGGUAGAUGGAUAUAAACAACCUCGCCUCUAGUCUGUUCAAACCUUUCCUAACGGGCUGCUUCAGGGAAUGAGUAACUUGUUCUGCAAGAGGAUAUUCUAAAUGUUCUACGACCGACUCAAGGUGAGUGGUGGUAAAGACGAGUGCUUCAUCAAGUAUUCCUUCUUCAUGCACUCGGAGAUGUGUGGCUUCAUACAACCCUAGUAUGCCUCUCACAUCAUUGAUCAAAGAUUCCUGGAAGCCCCCUUUUUCAUCCUUGAACUUGUUGAAUAUAUCUACAUUUAUUCACAGAAAUAUGAUAUAAAAGCGUUCCAGAAUAAGAUUGUGAUGAUGUUAUUAAGAUUUCAUUUUACCUAAUAGAUGAUAGUUCAUGCCUUACCACAUGACAUAUUGAAUCCUUGUUGUCUUAGCAGUCAAAAUUAAAGAGAAACAUUGAAUCAAUCAUCAUCUUUAUGAUCAACAUUAUAAUAGAUAUCAUAGAUAUGUUGCAAUGCUUCUUCUAUCUCUCUUUCAAAGUGGUAUGCCACCCCAAGCGGUUGAAUUCGAUUAAAAUAGUUCAAAUGUUGUGUGCGGGUUACCAGCAGCAGCCAUUAGCCCUCUUCUCACUUCCUCUUUCAGAUCUUCAGCCUGCUGCUCUUUAUGGCCACGGGCUAUCUGCAUGUACAGCGAAAUUGCAUACACAAACUAUUGUUUAGAAAAACAUUGGAUGGUUAAGAUGUGUUAUAUGUGUAUAUAUAUAUAUGUCAGAAAUUACCUCAUCAGCUAGAGUGUAGCUAACGAACCUCUCACCCCAUAUGCUAGGGCCAAAAUCUGCCUUUGAAACCCGUAACCCCAAUUUCUAGAGUGGGAGUUCUCCUAGGUUUCUUACCUAUUAUAGUUGGAUAAGGCUUACAUUAUAAUAGUGAUGCAAUUCUUCCAUUUGAUUUAAGAUAAUAGUUCCAAAGUCUGUAGUCAAUUUCAAGUAAAUUGGUAACUAUACAAUUAUUGUAUCCACAUAUGCCUAUAAUAAUGUGUUUCUAACAUUUGAUAUAUAAAAAAUAGUAACAACAACGAUAUAUAUAAAGAAGUUUGAGGAAUACAUUAUAUAUGCAAGAGAAUGAAAUAGUAGAAGGCUUUGAGGAAUUAUCAUUGUUGUAGCUAGGAAAUAUACAUACAAGGGUGAGAAGGAAAUAAAUUGCUUUAGCUCAAUUUUAAUUAGAGUGAGUUUGAUAGUUAUUUUAGAAAGUGUUUUUAAUAUUACUAACACUUAAAAUUUUUUAUAUUUCAAAUAUUAGAAAGGUUAUAAAUGCUAUCUAAAAUUACUGUCAAACACACUCUUAAUCAAUUGAAUUGUGCUGAUAUAAAUGAAGAGAAAUAAACGGUGUUUCUAUUUUAUAGACCAAACAGUGGCUAAAUGGUUAUGUGGUUAUGUGAACAUAUACUAAUAGUUAAUAUUGGUCCCUUGAAUGUAUAAUUUGGUGGAAGGAAGACCAAUUGCAAUAGCUAGCCUUGCAUUGUCAUAUUGGUCUCAAAUGGCGAGCGGGUGAUUUAGUUGGUUAUGGAAAUAGUUGUGUAUGUGAUAUUUUAUAUCGGAUAGAGGAAAAAGUUCUCAAUACUAUAUAAGUAUCAACUUCUCUUAACCCUAUAGAUGCGUUUUAAAGUUAUGAAAGUUUCUUUAGACUUAAAGUGGAUAAUAACUACAUUGUUGGGUGUGAAUGAUUACAAAUGGUAUUAAAAUUGAUCUUCUACUCUAGUGUGAGGGUUUGUUUGAUUCAAUUGGAGGUGUUUGUCUAGUUGACCCUAUAAUUUUAUGGGACAUUGUGUCCCAAAGUGGACAAUAUUUAUACGACUGGGUGUUGGUCUAUCAGUGCUCCUCAAGAUGGUGAAGAUCAUGCAAUGCAUUGCUAGCUUGAAGUAAAAUUCCGUGAGAACCUUUAUUUCUUGGUGAGGGCUUGGUAAGAAUAUCCUAUACAUUUGAUACUUGAUUCAACGAACAUAUCAUUUUCCAUGUUGUAGUUGAUUAUACAUUUUGAUAAUUGGUUCAAUGAACUUCAUCAUUUUCCAUGUUUUUGUCUAUAUAUUAUACAUUUCAUUAUUGAUUCAAUGUUGUACAACUUUGAUAAUAUAAGAAGACUAGUACCACUUUGCAGUGCCUCGUAGCAUGCUACAUGUGAGCGGAUGUGAAGUUUGGGCAAAGUCCAAGGGAAAGGAUCAAAAGUCAAAACGGGAAGAAAAGUAAGCGAAAAGAAAGUGGGAAGGAAAAUGAAAUUAAAUUCAGGGAAUAUGGAAUUAGGAUUGGAAAAUUUUCCAUUUUAAUUAAAAUCAAAAUCCAUUCUUUGAGGAUUUGAUUCUUUUCUUUCAUGUUGUGAUUUAUGUAUUCCAAUUUUCAUUUCGUUUUAUACCAUCAGUAGCUGCUCAAUAAUUUUAUUUGUUUUUUCUAUCGGGGUUCUUUCAUUUUUCAAAAGAAUGAAAAAAGGUGUAAAUAUGAUGUGUUUUUCUUUUAUUUUCUCUCCACUACUUAAAACCGAUACAAGAAAAAAAAACAUCUUUAAAUAUAUAUUUUUUAAAUUGUAUGUAUUUUUAUGAAUUUUUUGAACUUUUUAAAAGUUUUUAAUUAAGCAAAUAGAUUUCAAAUAAAAUAAUGCUUAAUAUAAAAUUUUAUUAAUUUUUAAAAAUAAUUUCAAACAAAAAAAAAAAUCAAUUCAAUUAGUAUUAAAAUAUCAUAUAACUCAAAACCGAUAAAAUUAACACUAGAAAAUUACAACCCUAAGUUCAUUCUAAAUCCCUUUGCCAAUUAUUUUAUAUAAUCAUAAUUUUGUGAUUUUUUUCACUAGUUAAAAAAUUUCAAAUUAAACAAAAUGUAAGACAAUAAAUUCACUAACCAGUUUAAUAAUUUUUAAAAAUAAUUUAAAAUUCAAAUAAUGAUUCAAUAAAUACCAUAAAUAUAUUAACAAAAAUUGAUAUAAAAUAACUUUAUUUUUUUGUUUUACAUAAAACUAAAUUUUUGUGACUUUGUACACUUAAAAAAUAAACUUCAAAUCAAGCAAAUCUCUAUAUUAAAUUUAAUGAUAAGUUUAAUGAUUAUAUAUAAAAAUACCAUUAAAUGUUUCACUACAAAAGAUUCAUUACAUGUAUGAAUACAAUUUUACUAUUUUUCUUGUACACAAAACAAUAUUUAAAGUAAGAUAUAAUUAAUGUUUUAAAUUCUUUACUGAGUUUUUUUGAUUUUUAAAAAUAAUUUGGAAUUCAAAAAACUGGUUAUAAAGAUUAAAAUAAAUAAAUUAUAGAAUACUUAAUUGAGUAUUAAAUAUGUGCAUAUAAUAAUAAAAAAAACUUAGUUCAUGUAUAGGUUCAAAAAUUAAACUCUAUUUUAAAAAAAAAUUUAUUUAAGAUAAAAUAAUAUUAAUAAAUAUGAAUUAAAUUAUUAUUAUUAAAUAUUAUUUAUUUGUACUUACAAAAUAUUUUUUUUUAAUAAGAUUUGAAUUAAAUUCAAUUUACAUUACAUAAGUUGACUUGAUAUGUUUUUUAUAAAAUAAAAAAAAAACAUUUUAAAAAAUAAUUUACCCAAAUGAGUAUUUUAUUUUUUAGAAAGUGUAUAUAAAAUCAACUUACAAAAGGAAUCAAAAUACUUCUUAUAAAAGAUUAAUUGAAAUCUCAUCACUUGAUAGUGAUAUUUCAUUUCUAUAGGAAUAAUUUUUUAUUUGAGUGAAAACAUCAGGGUGAAGGAGAAAAGGAAUAUGAUGUUGAUUUGUGUAAGCCAAACAUUGCCUAAUUGUAAUCAACCAUUUCCCAUCUUAUUCAUUGCAUAAUUGUACGCCAAACAUUACCGAAGAUUGCAAGCUAUCUUAUUCAUAUAUUGAGUGCUUGUGUACUGAGUUACAGUUCUCGUUACCAGCAACAUGUCUACUGAUUACUCAGCCUGUUCUCCAGCCCCAGAUGCUAAUCCAGAGACUAAUCGCCGGACUGCAAAUUUUAACCCUAGCACGUGGGGCAAUAGUUUCAUCAUGACCAACUCUCCUGAUGAUGAGGUAAUUUUGUGAUAUAUGAAGUUUGCACAACCAUCUAAAGAUUUUCUUAAUUUUUGUUCUUGAAAUUUAUUGAUGCAGAUAACUCUUGCCCAUAAAGAGCAGCAGUUGGAAGAUCUGAAGGAGGAAGUGAGAAGAGAGCUAAAGGCUGCAGCUGGUGACCCUUCAAAACAGCUGAAGUUUAUCGAUGCAGUUCAACGGCUUGGGGUGGCAUACCACUUUGAAAAAGAGAUUGAAGAAGCAUUACAAAAUACCUAUGAUAACUAUCAUUGCAUUGAUGACAUAAAAUGAUGAUCUCUAUGAUGUUGCACAUCGAUUUCGACUACUAAGACAACAAGGCUUCAAUAUUUCAUGUGGUAAGCCUCAUGAAUAUCAUGUAUUAUAAGGUGCUUGAAUAUCAUCUAGCAAAGCUCACAUAUAACAUUCUAUGUUUUGGUGAUGAUUACAGAUAUAUUCAACAGGUACACGGAUGAAAAGGGAAGGUUUAAGGAGUCUUUGAUCAAUGAUGCAUGUGGCCUACUAGGCUUGUAUGAAGCUGCACAUCUCAGGGUGUGGGAAGAAGAUAUACUAGAUGAAGCACUUGCUUUCGCCACCACUCACCUCGAGUCUAUAAUGGAACAUUUAGAACACCCUCUUGCAACACAAGUAACUCAUGCUUUAUACCGCCCAUUAGGAAAGGCUUAGAGAGGCUUGAGGCAAGGCCUUACUAAAGGGAAUUAAGCUGAAUUCCCAACUUGUGAGAAACAAGAAAAUAGAAAAAAAACACACGCCAAAGAAAAACAAUCACACGCACAAAACAAUAUUUACGUGGUUCGGCAAUUUGCUUACAUCUACGGAGUUGUAGGGAUAUCACCAUUAUCAGGGAAGAAUACAAAAUACAACACUAGUGGCUACGGACCUGCCUAAGCUCUCAUAGGAAGCGACCCUACCUUCACUCUCAUAUAGGUGAAUCUAUCAAGUAUGUUCUGCAUUUAAAUAUACCAUCCAUAAGGAAUAUGAUAUUCAUUAAGAGUAAAUACUCAACCUUAAUCAAUGCAAAAUACGUUCUAUCUACACUAUAGGAAUAGACUCUCAUAUAAUUAGAGUUAAUAGAGUUAUGAAAUUCCCACUCCAUACAUAUAACGUGGCAAAAAUUUCAAAUUAUUGACUUUUGACCAAUUUUUCUAAAAUUUCUCUUAAUUAAAUACUAACAUGUGGAUCUUCACCACUCUUUUUGACCUACAAAUUUAUGAAAGAUUUUAUGCUUUGAGAAUUUGACGUGUCCUAAAAAACCCGAUUAUUUCAAAACUCCUGCACCUAUUCAUUCUUCCCUACCACCUCUAUCUCCUAGUUCCAAUUCCCUACCACCUGCCACUACAUCAUCUAUCCAGUUUCUACCUCCUCUAAUUCAGGAUCCCUCUACUGCCUCCCCCUCCUCUGCUCCACCCUUACCUUCCUUCCACAAUAUUGAUCCCAUGGUAACCCGUUCAAAGGUAGGCAUCACAAAACCCAAGGCUCUUAUUGCAUCUACUCCCACUGAACCCUACACUUUUCGACGACAGGAUAUUAAGGAUCCUCAAUGGCAACUGGCAAUGGAUGUUGAAUAUCAAGCUUUACUCCGUAAUAACACUUGGUCUCUUGUUCAUCUCCCUUCUCAUGGGAAUAUUAUUGGAUGCAAAUGGGUAUUUCAAUAUUGAUCGUCACAAGGCUUAUCUUAUGGCCAAGGGUUUCACCCAAACUCAGGGAAUUGACUAUUUUUAUACCUUCAGCCCUAUAGUGAAGCCGACCACCAUUCUUAUUGUUCUCACUCUUGCACUUUCAUCCCAAUGGCCCAUUUGACAACUGAACAUUCAAAAUGCAUUUCUAAAUGGUGACCUUCACAACCAGGUCUUCAUGCAACAACCCCUUGGCUUUGCUCAUCGUCAACACCCAUCUUACGUCUGCCAUCUUCAUAAAGCCCUUUGCGGGCUUAAACAAGCUCCAACAGCUUGGUUCCACAAACUCAGUGCUUCUCUUACCACUUGGGGAUUUGAAUCUUCUUGCGCAGACACCUCUUUAUUCUUCAAACAUGCAACAUCUAAUGUUCUCCUCAUUCUUGUCUACGUUGAUGACAUCCUCGUCACUAGUAGUUGUGCCUCUCAGGUUACCUUUUUUAUCUCUCAGCUCAGCUCCACCUUUUCUCUUCGUGACCUUGGUUCCCUUUACUAUUUCUUUGGCAUUGGGGUUACUCACAGUACUGAUUCUCUUCAUCUCUGCCAACAAAAAUAUGUGCAUGACCUACUCACUCGUACUGCCAUAACUGAUGCUAAACUUGUUCUUACACUGGGUUCCUUGGCCAAGCCCCUCUCUCUCACUGAUGGUGAUCUACUUCAUAUCGCAACAUUGUUGGCGCAUUGCAGUAUGUUACUGUUACACGUCCAAAUCUUUCUUUUGCCGUUAACAAGGUAUGCCAGUUUAUGGCUUCCCCAACGACCACCCACUAGCUGGCUGUCAAGAGAAUCGUCCGCUAUCUUAAGGGCGCGUCCUCUCAUGGUCUCUUACUUCAUGCUUCUCCCACCUUUGAAUUCCAAGGCUUCACAGAUGCUGACUGGGCUUCUUGUCUGGAUGACCAUCGCAGUACCAACGACUAUGGUCUCUUCCUUGGCUCCAAUCUGAUUUCAUGGUCAUCAUCAAAGUAGAAAGUUGUGUCCCGUAGUAGUGCUGAAUUGGAGUACCAUGCCCUUGCUACUUUGAUAGCUGAAAUUACCUGGGUUCAAGCUCUCUUGAAGGAACUUUGCAUCUCACCAUUUGAUAAUCCCUUAAUAUGGUGUGACAGCAAAAGUGUUGGCGCUCUUGCUGCUAACUAUGUCUUCCAUGCCCACUCCAAGCAUAUCAAACUUGAUUUACAUUUCAUUCAUGACAAAAUUCUUCUGCAUGAUCUUGCCAUUCAGUACAUUCCAUCCUCUGAGCAACUAGCAGAUAUCUUCACCAAGCAUCUUCCAAGUGCUCGGUGCACUUGCGGGGGGUGAUAACAGUCAUAUAAUAUCUCAGCAGACCCCACGUCCAACUGAAUCCAAACAACUCUCAACCUCCUAACUCCAUCUAUUAUGUAGUUAGACUUAUUGUUACAUCAGUUAGAGAACCACUAGUAUAUUAGCUCCAAAGUGUAACAAUGAAAAUGAUUAAUGAGAAAAUAUUCAACCUCUUAUAGGAAGCAUGUCUUCUACCCAUGAAGCACUUUAGAAGGAAUCCAACUUUUGUUCAACCUUGGAUUCAUCUUACUUAAUAGUGGGUUUCCCUGUCCUUGCCCCAAGUGGGCACUAAGUAUUUCAACUAUUUUGACAUGUUCAAAAUAAAUUACUAAGAAUUUAAAGGGAAUUUGUUUGACAAGUACUUUUUUUUUUAAACAUGUUUAUUUAUACAUUGUUUAGUUUAGGUUGCAUUAUUUUAUGUAAAUAAUUUAUUGGGUAUGGGAAUUAUUUUUAUAAAUGGCUGAGUAGAUUCAAUUUUAAAUAUUAAUUUAUUGAGCAUGAAAAUUAUUUAUUAAAACAUGGUUUAACAACUAUGUGAUGGAAUUACCUUGUUAAACAAAAUAAACUAAUACUAUAUUAUUUUAGCUUAAAUUAUUUCUUGAUGGUUGCAAUGUUGAAAAAACAAAUAUCAAUAAAGACUAACCUUAACGAGAAAAAUAGUAAUUAACAUAAUUUUAUAUUGACUUGUAAAAUUGGGUCAACAUAUAAAUAUAUUGAUGGUAACAAGAAGACCUACAUUGAUAAUGAAAAGAAAGUUCAGUUAAAGAUACUAUAAAUUAUAAUUUUAUUUAAAUCUAUUUUCAAAUUUAAUUUUAAUUUUAUCUAAAAAUAGUUAAUAGAGUUUUGGUUGAAUUUUAAGACUAUAAGAUAAGCAAAUAAAUGAAAAGAAAGUUAAGUUAAAGAUACUAUAAAUUAUGAUUAGAAGAAUAAAAAUCAAUAAAAAAUAAAUAAAAAUAGUGGUUUUAUCUUAAAUUAGAAAUAUUAAAAAAAAAAAAAAGAUAAAUGAAUAAUAUAUUGAAAAAUAUAACUUUGUGGUAGAAGAGCAAUGACUAUGCUCUUUGGAAUACCCUAGUUUAUGUUCAUUUUUUAAAAUUUAAAAAGAAUAAACAUCUUUUAGAUAUUAAUAAAAAUAAAUUUAAAUAGAUUCUUAAGAUAAAACCUAAAAAACAUUUGUUGUUGGCCAAAUAAUCCAACUAUGAGCCCUUUUAUGACAAGUGAAACUUCCAAAUUUUCUGAAGAAUUUUUUAUCUUAGCAUUAAAAUCUAAAUGUAGAAUAUAUAUAGUACGAGUUACCUUUUUAACAACUUAUUAUUUAUUUUAUUUAAUUUAAUAAUAUACAUUAAUAUAAAUUAUAGUUGACUUGAGUUUUUUUUUUUUUUUUUUUUUGAUUUGGCAUAUGCUUGUAUUACUUUGUUAGCUUGGAGGACGAAAAACCUAUACAAAUAAUUAGUUGAAUGAAAUAAUAAGCGAGUGAAUUGUAUGUAUCAAUGAAAUUGUAAUUUUUAGAUUGCAAAAAUAAGUACAUACAUUAAUAUAUAUGAAAAUAUAUAGUGAUUAUGACAUUUGAGAACCUAUUUAUUUUGAAAGAUGGGAAUUAAACUUCGUAAAAAUUAAGAUGGAUUGGAAGUAAUUUUUUUUGUUACUUGAAAUGUGUACAACUUCUUCCUUGUAGUGAUGUUAUGUGUAAUAGAACUUCCAUGCACAAUCGUUUUCAUGAUUAGGAAUUGAAUUAGAGAAAUUAGAUUUUGUAGAAGAUUUUUUCAAAUUUGAAAAAAUUGCAUGUGGAAGAGUUGCAUUGGCAAGGAAAUCUACACACUCAUUGAACAGUCUAGGCCCACUUUUCCAAUCAGCCUAGCACGUUUUUUUGAAUUGUAACUAACCUUGUAAUCAGUCUCUAUGUUUCAAAACUAUGAUGGGGACACUUAACCAAUAAGUCCUUAAAACUGUCCCACCACGUCUUUCUCCAUAUGGGAGAAAUUAGAUACUUGUCUUUUCAUGAAAAGUAAUUUCUCUCAAGAGUUAAUGCUGCUUGUCCUCAAGCUAUACCCAUUCUUUACCCAUUCCUUUUAAAGAAAAAGAAUAACCUCUCCUUUAAAUUCUCCGAGUUAACAUUAGGCUCUCGGAAAGUGGAGAAAACCUCCUCAAGUUCAAUCAAAUGGUCAUAAACCCAAUAAAUUAUGACAACAAAAUGAAUCGUUUUAAGGCCUCAUGUUUACUGGCUGAGCAUUGUAAGGGAAGACAAUAUACGAAGGGGAAUUUACCCUUGGUGAUUGAAAAAAUAGUUUCUAAGUGUCCUAAGUGGCUGGUUAUUAGACUGAUAGUCAUCUCAUCGCACUCCCUUGAAUGCACCUCUAUUAUUUAGAUAGAGAAACAUCUUAAUUGUUGCCCUCCAUAUCAAGUUCAGUGGUUAUAAGCUAAAAUAUGUUGUGUGAUGCCUCAAAUCAUAAAGAAACAUUAUAUUUGUCUGAAAUCAUUUUAACCUUGUAAACAUAUUUUAAAGUUAUGAGGACUUUUUAGAUCCAGAAUGGACAAUAUUUACAUGUUAGAGAGUGAGUCGUUGCCUUUUGUCUCUAAUCCACCCUCUUAAAUCCCUAACCCAAUCUUGGAGUACCAUAGAAAGUUUAAAGAUUAUUAGUGAUUUUAUAAAGGAUAUUGACAAAAAAGAAGAUCAUUAACCUAUUCAUUUGGGAUAUUGAGAAAAGAAAAUCACUAAUCAUGUUAUUUAGAAAAUAUUUGACUCAAAGGAUUUUGAAAUAUUCACAAAGAUUAUUUAGAAAAUAUAACAAUAGCUUAACCCUUUUAACUCUUGUACAAAACUUUGACUCAAAUGAUUUUGAAAUUAAACGUAACAUGCUAUUAAGUGAAUAUGGUCACUCAACUCAUAAAAUUUCACAAAAAGAUUAUUUUAAUUCACAUUUUCUCACAUUUUCUUAAUAACAUUUUUUUUCUUUUCGAUGUAAAGAAAUUGCAGAAAGUUUUUUUACUUGGAACUACUAGACAUAUUGCAUUCUCAUGGUAAUAAUUUGGGGUUAUUUAAACAUCAUCUUCAUUUAUUAAACAGAAUCAAGAGUUUCUUUAGAAUAAUCUACAAAAUUAAUUGGUAUUGAUAGAUGGGGUUUUAACUUUUAAGAAUUAGACAAAAUUUUGUAGAAAAGUUUCCCAAAUCUUAAAAGAUUUGUAUGUGGAAGUACGACUUGAUAUGUCUCUUCCUACACGUGAAUUGCAUUGGCAAGGAAGCUGAGAAGUUUAAUCACGCCAGCGUUUUUUCUCUGUUAAAUAACCCAGGAUUGAUAUUGAUGACAUCCAUUACCAUUUCAAAGCCCAUUUUCUCAUAUCGACACGUUUUUCUUUUUUUGCUAUUUCUCAGUAUCAAUUCAAUACUAAACAAAUUCACUACACGUGCAUAGUGGAAGAUGAAGCCUUCUAGCUAGAUAUUGAUUAAUGACCACAUAAAAAACUUAUCGGCAGGCCAAACUGAUACUCACCAUGUGCCCCAAACUGAUCCAAAUUGGUUUUCAACAAUAUACAACCACUGCAUGACUUUUUGCAUGGUAGAGAAACUUUUUAAAAUGUUCUAUCAAGAAUAAUUCUACCAUAAAUUAGGAUUUCAUGCCCAACUUUUUUAUUUAUUUAUUAAAAAGAUAAAAAUUUUAAAUGAAUUCAUUUUUGAGAAGACGAUUACAAAUAAUAAAUUUGUUUUAUUAAAAAAUAAGUUUAAUAUAAAAAAUAAAUUGGCCUUUUAAAUGGACGAUUUAAUUUAAAAAUAAGAUAAUAGACAUAAAUAUGGUAUUAUUAUAUUUAUUUUUCAAAUAACUAUUUUUUAAUAAUAUUUUUUGAAAAUAAUAAAGAAAAUUCCUCAAAUGACUCUGAAAGUUCCGCCCUAUAAAUACUAUGGAGCUUGCCAAGCCAUUUCGCUCAUACUUGCCAAUUCAUCAUUCAGGGUGUUCUUUCAUUGUUCUAAGGAAGUAGCAUGUCUACUCAAGUCUCAGAAUGUCCUCUCGUCCAAAUUCCUAAACCCGAAAAUCGCCCUAGGGCGAAGUUUCACCCUAAUAUUUGGGGUGACUUAUUCAUUACCUACACUCCGGAAGAUGAGGUAAUUCAAUGAAAAUAUGUGUCAAGGUUAAUGGCUUCUCAAUGUGUUAAUUGGUAAAAUUUGUUGGUACAGGUUUCACGUGCCUGCAAAGAGAAGCAGGUUGAAGAUCUGAAAGAGGAGGUGAGAAGGGAGUUAAUGGCUGCUGCUGGUAACCCUUCCCAAUUGUUGAACUUCAUUGAUGCGGUGCAACGGCUUGGGGUGGCAUACCACUUUGAAAGAGAGAUAGAAGAAUCAUUACAACAUAUUUAUGAUAGAUUUCAUGAUGCCGAUGAUACAAAUGAUGAUCUCUAUAAUAUUGCUCUUCGAUUUCGACUACUGAGACAACAAGGGUACAAUAUUUCAUGUGGUAAGAGACCAGAGAAUCAAUUAUCAUUGCAUAAGUAAAAAAUGCAACCGUCUUAUCGUACAAAGGGUGUUAUUAUGCAGGUAUAUUCAACAAGUUCAAGGACGAAAAAGGUAGCUUCAAGGAGGAUUUGAUCAGCAACAUACAAGGCAUGCUGGGCUUGUAUGAAGCUGCACAUCUCAGGAUUCAUGGAGAGAACAUACUUGAAGAAGCACUUGCUUUCUCCACCACUCACCUCAAGGCCAUGGUAGAAAGUUUAGGAUACCCUCUUGCAGAACAAGUUGCUCAUGCCCUGAAGCGGCCCAUUAGGAAAGGUUUGGAGAGGCUAGAGGCAAGAUGGUAUAUAUCUAUCUACCAAGAUGAAGCUUUCCAUGAUAAAACUUUGCUAAAGCUGGCAAAAUUAGAUUUCAAUCUAGUGCAGUCACUGCACAAAGAAGAGUUAAGCAAUCUUGCAAGGUUGGUUUUUAAAUCACCCCACAUGCACUUGUUCAUUCUUAUCUGUUUGUUGUAUGCUGAUCACAUUAAUGUAUUUUAGGUGGUGGAAAAAAUUAGACUUCGCUACAAAGCUACCUUUUGCUCGAGAUAGAUUGGUGGAAGGCUACUUUUGGAUAGUUGGGGUGUAUUUUGAGCCUCAAUAUUUAUGGGCUAUACGAAUUUUAACCAAAAUAAUUGUCAUGACUACGGUUAUAGACGAUAUCUAUGAUGCAUAUGGCACACUUGAAGAAAUAAAGCACUUCACAGAAGCCAUUGAGAGGUUUCAUAUAUGUAUUUAUACAUACUUUAAUCAGGGUUACGUAUUUUAUUUUCAGGUGGGAUAUUAACAGCAUAGAUCACCUUCCAGAAUAUAUGAAACUCUUCUUUGUGGCACUCUUAGAUGUGUACAAAGAAAUUGAGGAAGAGAUGGAGAAAGAAAGAUACCAAUAUCGGGUUCACUAUGCGAUAGAAGCAGUAGGACAUCUCUAACUCAGCAUUUUAUUUCAUUCAUUUAGUCUCAUAUAUGCAUGGAUAUAACUUGGAUGAAUGGUCUUCAGAUGAAGAAUCAAGUUCGGGCUUACUUUGCUGAGGCAAAAUGGUUCCACGAACAACACAUUCCAACAAUGGAAGAGUAUAUGAGUGUUGCACUAUCAUGCUCAGGUUACUCCUUGCUUGCAACCUCGUCUUUCAUCGGAAUGGGAGAAAUCGCAUCAAAGGAGGCCUUUGAUUGGGUGAUUAGGGAUCCUAAGAUUAUUAGAGCUUCAACUGUAAUUGCAAGGUUCAUGGAUGACAUGAAAUCACAUACGGUAUGGUCAAUGUACAUGUGUUUGCCUCCAAAGACAGGAAAUUGAAGGUUAUUUUUUAUUUUGGUAAAGUAUUAAGAAAAAGAAAUUAAAAGUAAUGAUUUUCUUACAUUGGAUUAUCUUAUAAAAAAAUAUGAAAGAAAAUAAAAUAUAAUUAAAAGUAAUAAAAAACUUAUACAUUUUAAAAUUAUUUAAUCCUCGUAUCAAUGAGUUAAAAUAAAUAAAAUGAGUUCAAGGUAAUAAAUAAAAAUAAUUUAUUAACUUUAAAUCUAUUUUUUAUAUUCCUUUAAUUUUUUUUUUCAUUCCAUUUUUUCUUUCUAUUUUAUUUCUCUUACAUUUUCCUUUAAAUUUUUCUAGAACCAAACAUAGUUGAAGUGGUGGGCUUAGCCCAAUCAGUUAGUUAUAGGUUAUUAACUUUUGUAUUAAUAUACAUUCAGUUUGAGCAAGAGAGAGUUUCACAACCAAAUUGUGAAUGUAUGGAUGGACAUUAACCAGGAAUGCCUCAAACCUACUGCUGUUCCAAUGCCUCUCCUUACUCGUGUUCUCAAUCUUUCACGAGUCAUGGAUGUCAUUUACAAGGAGGGAGAUGGCUACACACAUGUUGGGAAAGUGAUGGAGGAUAAUAUUGGAUCUGUGCUCAUUGACCCCAUAAUAUGAUCAAAUGGACGUUAUUUAUAAUAAAUCAUUGUAAUAAGGUGUGUGAGAGAGACAUUA